rnacentral:rRNA from 1 species
GAUGAACGCUGGCGGCGUGCCUAAUACAUGCAAGUCGAACGAAGAUCUAGCUUGCUAGAUCUUAGUGGCGAACGGGUGAGUAAUACAUAAAUAAUCUGCCCAUAUGACUGGGAUAACUAUUGGAAACGAUAGCUAAUACCGGAUAGGUUGAUUGGAGGCAUCUCUGAUUAAUUAAAGUAGGAUUUCUACACAAAUGGAUGAGUUUAUGGCGCAUUAGUUAGUUGGUGGGGUAACGGCCUACCAAGACGAUGAUGCGUAGCCGACCUGAGAGGGUGACCAGUCACACCGGAACUGAGACACGGUCCGGACUCCUACGGGAGGCAGCAGUGGGGAAUAUUGGACAAUGGGCGCAAGCCUGAUCCAGCAAUGCCGCGUGUGUGAAGAAGGCCUUCGGGUUGUAAAGCACUUUAGCCUGGGAAGAAAAAACUUUGGUUAACACCCAAAGUCUUGACGGUACCAGGAGAAUAAGCACCGGCUAACUCUGUGCCAGCCGCCGCUGUAACAC